rnacentral:rRNA from 1 species
CGCGUAGGCGGUCGGUCAAGUCGGUUGUGAAAGCCCUCGGCUCAACCGAGGAACUGCAUCCGAUACUGGUCGGCUAGAGUAUGGAAGGGGAGAGUGGAACUCCUGGUGGAGCGGUGAAAUGCGUAGAUAUCAGGAGGAACGCCGGUGGCGAAAGCGACUCUCUGGUCCACAACUGACGCUGAGGCGCGAAAGCCAGGGGAGCAAACG